rnacentral:rRNA from 1 species
UAGCUAGUUGGUGAGGUAAAGGCUUACCAAGGCGACGAUCUGUAGCGGGUCUGAGAGGAUGAUCCGCCACACUGGAACUGAGACACGGUCCAGACUCCUACGGGAGGCAGCAGUGGGGAAUUUUGGACAAUGGGGGCAACCCUGAUCCAGCCAUGCCGCGUGAGUGAAGAAGGCCUUCGGGUUGUAAAGCUCUUUCGGCCGGGAAGAAAUCGCAUGGGCCAAUACCCUGUGUGGAUGACGGUACCGGAAUAAGAAGCACCGGCUAACUACGUGCCAGCAGCCGCGGUAAUACGUAGGGUGCGAGCGUUAAUCGGAAUUACUGGGCGUAAAGCGUGCGCAGGCGGUUUUGUAAGACAGGCGUGAAAUCCCCGGGCUUAACCUGGGAACUGCGUUUGUGACUGCAAGGCUAGAGUACGGCAGAGGGGGGUGGAAUUCCACGUGUAGCAGUGAAAUGCGUAGAGAUGUGGAGGAACACCAAUGGCGAAGGCAGCCCCCUGGGUCGAUACUGACGCUCAUGCACGAAAGCGUGGGUAGCAAUCAGGAUUAGAUACCCUGGUAGUCCACGCCCUAAACUAUGUCAACUAGGUGUUGGGUGGGUAAAACCAUUUAGUACCGUAGCUAACGCGUGAAGUUGACCGCCUGGGGAGUACGGCCGCAAGGUUAAAACUCAAAGGAAUUGACGGGGACCCGCACAAGCGGUGGAUGAUGUGGAUUAAUUCGAUGCAACGCGAAAAACCUUACCUACCCUUGACAUGCCAGGAACUUGCCAGAGAUGGCUUGGUGCCCGAAAGGGAGCCUGGACACAGGUGCUGCAUGGCUGUCGUCAGCUCGUGUCGUGAGAUGUUGGGUUAAGUCCCGCAACGAGCGCAACCCUUGUCGUUAAUUGCCAUCAUUUAGUUGGGCACUUUAACGAGACUGCCGGUGACAAACCGGAGGAAGGUGGGGAUGACGUCAAGUCCUCAUGGCCCUUAUGGGUAGGGCUUCACACGUCAUACAAUGGUCGGUACAAAGGGUUGCCAAGCCGCGAGGCGGAGCCAAUCCCAGAAAGCCGAUCGUAGUCCGGAUUGCAGGCUGCAACUCGCCUGCAUGAAGUCGGAAUCGCUAGUAAUCGUGGAUCAGCAUGUCACGGUGAAUACGUUCCCGGGUCUUGUACACACCGCCCGUCACACCAUGGGAGCGGGUUCCGCCAGAAGUAGGUAGCCUAACCGCAAGGGGGGCGCUUACCACGGCGGGGUUCGUGACUGGGGUGAAGUCGGAACAAGGUAGCCGUAGGGGAACCUGCGGCUG